rnacentral:rRNA from 1 species
UACGGGGGGGGCAAGCGUUGUUCGGAAUUACUGGGCGUAAAGGGCUCGUAGGCGGCCAACUAAGUCGGAUGUGAAAUCCCCAGGCUUAACCUGGGAACUGCAUCCGAUACUGGAUGGCUUGAAUCCGGGAGAGGGAUGCAGAAUUCCAGGUGUAGCGGUGAAAUGCGUAGAUAUCUGGAGGAACACCGGUGGCGAAGGCGGCAUCCUGGACCGGUAUUGACGCUGAUGCGCGAAAGCCAGGGGAGCAAACGGG